rnacentral:tRNA from 1 species
GGGCAGAUGUCAGAGUGGUCGAAUGAGCACGCUUGGAAAGCGUGUGUAGCAGCAAUGUUACCGAGGGUUCGAAUCCCUCUCUGCCCGCCA